rnacentral:rRNA from 1 species
UGAGGAAUAUUGGUCAAUGGAGGAAACUCUGAACCAGCCACGCCGCGUGCAGGAUGAAUGCCUUAUGGGUUGUAAACUGCUUUUGUAUAAAAAUAAAACUUUUUACGUGUAAAAAGUUGAAGGUAUUAUACGAAUAAGUGUCGGCUAACUCCGUGCCAGCAGCCGCGGUAAUACGGAGGACACAAGCGUUAUCCGGAUUUAUUGGGUUUAAAGGGUGCGUAGGCGGUUUAUUAAGUCAGUAGUGAAAUCUUACAGCUCAACUGUAAAAUUGCUAUUGAUACUGAUAAACUUGAGUAAGAUUGGAGCAGCUGGAAUGUGUGGUGUAGCGGUGAAAUGCAUAGAUAUCACACAGAACACCGAUCGCGAAGGCAGGUUGCUAAAUCUUUACUGACGCUGAGGCACGAAAGCGUGGGGAGCAAACAGG